rnacentral:rRNA from 1 species
GAUGAACGCUAGCGAUAGGCCUAACACAUGCAAGUCGAGGGGCAUCACAUGAAGUAGCAAUACGGAUGGUGGCGACCGGCGCACGGGUGAGUAACACGUAUGCAACCUGCCUUCAACAAGGGGAUAACCCGUUGAAAGACGGACUAAUACCCUAUAACACAGGGGUCCCGCAUGGGAAUAUUUGUUAAAGGACAACCGGUUGAAGAUGGGCAUGCGUUCCAUUAGCUAGUUGGCGGGUAACGGCCCACCAAGGCAACGAUGGAUAGGGGAACUGAGAGGUUUAUCCCCCACACUGGUACUGAGACACGGACCAGACUCCUACGGGAGGCAGCAGUGAGGAAUAUUGGUCAAUGGACGCAAGUCUGAACCAGCCACGUCGCGUGAAGGAAGACGGCCCUACGGGUUGUAAACUUCUUUUAACGGGAAUAAAGUGCCCCACGCGUGGGGUUUUGCAUGUACCGUAUGAAUAAGGAUCGGCUAACUCCGUGCCAGCAGCCGCGGUAA